rnacentral:lncRNA from 1 species
AAAACGCACUAAUUCCCACUUGAAUUAAUCAAAAGCAACAUGAUUUCUCCUUUACAAGCGUGGAUUUACAUCUCGUCCUAUUUGAUCUUCAAGCUAAGGCCCAAUGCCACCAGUCAAGCUUCUUAAUUGCAUUCUUAUGAUUCCUUAUGCCAAUCCUUAUGUCAUUAGGACUCCUCGUGUAUAGAGGAAUAAAGAAUAAUGGAGACCCCAAUGGUGCAAAUCCUAAAUUGAAAUAAUUAGGUGUGCCUCUAUCCUCA